rnacentral:lncRNA from 1 species
UUGAGACACUGUGAUACAUUAGGAUAUAACUCGUGAAAUUCAGGACUUCUCAAGUGCAGAGGGUUGGUAUAUAACACAGCAAGAUUUUAACUACACCCGAGCCAAAUUUAUAGGAAAUUAAAAAGCUGUGAAACCUGGGAAACAGAUUUCAGUAAAAUAUUAACUUUUUCUUUUACUAACAGACUUUCGCAGAUAUUCUAGUGUGAAUUACUAAUGUGCUUGAAAUAUAUUUAAAAUAAAUACUUGACUGCAAUUUGUGCUUAGAAGUAACUAUUUGUUGUGCUGUACGUAAGUUGUAAGAAGCAGCUUUUUUAUUGUUAUUUCACCAGCCAAAGAAAUGAGGGGUGGAGGGGAAGAACAGUCUAGAAUCUAUCUAGAACUAGAGACACAAACCACAUUUCCCAUCCUAUCAAACACUCCCAGUAAAUUCCUGCAUACAUUGCUUAAUUUCCUUCACACUUCAGCUUGGCUCAGCAGCAUUCAUAUACCUCAUGAGCCAGCAAUGAAGAAAACUGCAGGAAAGGCUGUAGAGGACUUAUCUUUAUCAAUAUGGAUGUGAUAGAUAGGCUCCGUUUAGAAUCUUACUAAUUAGCUAUGAAGGGGGCAUUUUAUAUGUAUAUUUACAUAUAAAUUUAUAUUUAUAACACCUGAAGGAAGUUCACACAGCAGAAGGGCCAUUUUGCCUUUAUUUCUAACAGCUGAGGACCUUCAGCUGUGCCAAUUUCUCUGUUGCAGAGGCAAAGAAAGAUUGCUGGCUGGAGUUAGUUUGUUCCAGUCUACAGCUGGGAGAGGUGUUCCCAUUCAAUCCCUUCUUUUAUGCCAUUCCUUGGAUUUGCAGGCUGCCAGUCCAGCAGGUGGGUAAAUCUCUUACUAAGCUUGAAGAGUGAUGGAGACAAAAAGCCACAAGCAGUCCUGGAAAAUGGGAACUCUGCCCCUUUGUCUGCUGCGAAGCUGCAUCAGUCUGCAGGGUGCAAAAAUGCAUUGUUCAGUAAACCCAGGGAAAACCAUAAGAAGUAUGCUCUGAUCAGCAGCACAAACCACAAAGAGUGCCCAGCAGAUGCCCAAAUACUAUGUUUUCCAUCUCAUUUCGAUAUCCUUGACUCAUGCAUCCUGUCUAAGCUAAUGUUAGUUUCCUGA